rnacentral:lncRNA from 1 species
AUAACUAGUGAAUAAAUCUAAACGAAACGACAGCGAUGCACCCGAAGUUAAAGCUUAGAUAUUACUCGAUAAACGGAACUUACAGAAUCGGUCGGAGAUCGUGUCGAUGCAGCUUUGCCAACCCGUACAAACUCGUAAAAGAAAAAGAUGUAUUGGCGAAGUCGCCGACUUGAAAGUAAAGUACGAUGAAAAAGUAGAUUUGUUUGUAUUGAUUGAUGUGUUGUUUACAAAUCUCUGAAGAUGGCUAUUUAUAGCCUGUUACAACCGAUUUCCUAACCGACUAGGAUCUACCUCUAAUUUUAAAUGAAAAUGAAUAUUUCAAACACAACUCGUAUCGGAGUUGGUUAUUGUACUCCCAAGGGCCAAUCUUUCUCUAUCUUCUUUCUCUGACCUACUUUAAGCCCAUAUUGGCCCAAUCAC